CCAGCGCAAAGCCGAAACUCGCCAGCAAAGAGGAUCAGGAGGGGGUGACUCCGCUGCAGCGGACCCUGGGAAAGCGAGUUGACGCCACUGCAGCCUUUUGAAGAGGAAAAGCGGAGACCCUCAGCUACAGAUCUUCGAAAUUUCUUACAUGACUUAUGAUCUUCACAACUGUGCAAUCCAUUUUUAAAACGGGAAAAAGACUCAGAAAUCAGAAGUUGUACGUCGAGUCGCUUAUUCACCAUAUUUCAUUGUCUUGAUAGCAUCACUAGAACGACCUACCGAAGAAAGUACCGUUUGAGUCUCCAUCCUCGUGCUUCUGCUGCUGUUGCUGCUGCUGUUGCUGCUG